UUUACCAAUAUUGCAAGCUAUCGGUGGAAGUCAUGGGAGCUGACAACGAAACAUCUAUGACAACGAAACAGUUCCUCGUAUAAAAUAUACAUAAUGAGUCCAUCCACCAAAUAAAGUAAAUAGUUCGGAACACAUACUUUACGACUUAGCCAAUGUUGCCCAAUUUAUACACCAGACACUGAAAGAAGAAGGAAUUUCUUCAGUUCUUUAUGUUGGCAGGGUCAUGAGAGUGUGUCCUUUUUAAAACGAAACCAUUUUACAUUGUUGCGACUUGCGGCCAAAACAAGAAUUUUGAAGAAAUUAGCUUAAAAUCUGUAAAAAUAAAACCAUAUCAUAAUAUAAAAGCGAGCAAAUGAAUUUAUUGAAAAAAUAUUUAUAUAUAUAUCAAACUAGCGGGUAUAACCCGGCCUUGCCCGUGGAACGCAUGUUAAACUUGUCGGACGGUAAACAAACAAUUUUCAUAGAAACAUUUUCCGCCAAUUUAUCAAUGUUGCGAGUGGAAUUUCCCAAAUCGCUGAAACACGUAUUCAUUAUAUUCUUAUGAAGAGCUUUGAAAAUAAGUUUGAAGCAAAUCGGACACAACUUAAAACUUCGCACAAAAAAUCUUUGAGUCGCAUUCCACCCGAAAAAAUUUGGAUUCUGCGAAAAGUGUGAAACACGUAUCAAAUGAUUUUUCUUAUAGAUCUUUGGAAACGAAUUUGAACACAAAACGUCAUCCCCCAAAUCGUUGACCUCCAUUUCCACCAAGGAGGAACGGAUUUUUCGAAAAGUGUUAAACACCCCUCAAAUGAAUUUGAACAAAGAUCUUUGAAAAUAAGUUAGAGGCCGAUCGGAUGGUAAACAAAAAAGUUACAUACAAACGUUUUUCGCGAUUUUUCCACACUUGCGGGUGGAAUUUCCCGAAACCCCGUCUUAACGUGCACCUACAUCACAUAAGGCGUACCCACCCUUAAUAAGACGAAUGCCUCUCCCUCAUGUUGAACAAAUAUGCUCUCAUGCUCCUCCCCCUUUCAACAAACGAUGAGCCGGAAAUUCUCUCUUAACUGAAUAAUUGAAAACGAAAAAAUUAGCAUACUAGGAACAUUUCCGAAGACCAUUUCUCCUAACAUCUGAAACCACAAUAACAAUUAGUUAUAAAUGAUUUUAUUAAUCUAUACCCGGAAAAUUUUGCCCGACAAGAGUCGGUGUUCACGCAUGAGCACGUUACAGCGAGUCUCACUUACACCCUCGGUAAAAUUUCAUAUUGUACCGAAAUGAAAGCAGCAGCAUAAAAAUAGAUAACGCACAUGUGGUCGAUUAAGAUUGGAAAGUGACAUACGCUACGAAAUGUCACGUUAGAAAUAUAAUUAGCAAGGUUAAGAAAAACACCCUAAUUAAAAACAAUAGUUUAUGACCGCUGCUACCGAUGGUGCAUCGACAGCAGAUCUCAAAUAAGAUACUCUGUUAGUGUAUAAGAACUAGGAUUCGUAAGAAU